ACCUGGCUGGCUCAGUGGGAAGAGCCUGAGACUCUUGAUCUUGGGGUGGUGGGUUCGGGCCCCAUGUUGGGUG
rnacentral:tRNA from 1 species